rnacentral:rRNA from 1 species
AUUGAACGCUGGCGGCAGGCCUAACACAUGCAAGUCGAACGAGUGGCGGACGGGUGAGUAAUGUCUGGGAAACUGCCUGACGGAGGGGGAAAACUACUGGAAACGGUAGCUAAUACCGCAUACCAUCGGAUGUGCCCAGAUGGGAUUAGCUAGUCGGUGGGGUAAAGGCUCACCUAGGCGACGAGCCCUAGCUGGUCCGAGAGGAGGACCAGCCACACUGGCACUGAGACACGGUCCAGACUCCUACGGGAGGCAGCAGUGGGGAAUAUUGCACAAUGGGCGCAAGCCUGAUGCAGCCAUGCCGCGUGUAUGAAGAAGGCCUUCGGGUUUUAAAGUACUUUCAGCGGGGAGGCGUUACCCGCAGAAGAAGCACCGGCUAACUCCGUGCCAGCAGCCGCGGUAAUAC